ACAGAACACACUUGAAAAUCAAAAUAACUUAUAAGACCUGUUGUCUAGCGAGUUACUCCGAAGAGGAGCCUCGGGCUGCAGGAUUAAUUAAUGCUUGUUCAUGCACUACUCUCAGAUAUUAAGAAUACAUUGUAAGAAGUCUGUCUCCUCAAAAUAAAGCAUGGAGCCA